ensembl:lncRNA
CUUCUCCUCCCCCGCUAGUGACUGAGCCCAAGUGAACACAGGACCCCAGUCAGCCAGUCGUAACAUGUGGUCGCACAAGAGGCAGGCACAGGAGCAGUUCUGCAGCCAUCUGGGACCUCUGAACCCCAAGUGAAUGUAGAGCCUCCAUGGAAGCUCUUGAAGACAGCCUGCAUGCUCUUUCCCGACCUUGCUGAGAGUCUGUACCCUAAAAACUCAGAUGGUGACAACGAGCUGGGUUAAAAUCUUGGCUGUCUUUUCUCAGGUAACAGCAUGGAUCCUUUAAUGAGGAUAAAGUCUGUGUGACCUCAUCACCUCUUCAUCAUCACUGUGUUGAGGAUUCACGUUCCAACAUAGAAACACUGGGCGAUACACUCAAACCAGAGCACGCGCAAGUAUAAUUUUAUGAAAACAGGGCCAAUAACCUAGAUGAAAAGUCUUUUUUUUUUUUUUUUGGUACCGGGAUCGAACUCGGGACCUUGCACUUGCAC